rnacentral:rRNA from 1 species
UCCAGGGCUACACACACGCUACAAUGGUAAGGUACAACAGGUUGCCAAGCCGCGAGGCGGAGCCAAAUCCUCUAAAGCCUACCUCAGUUCAGAUUGCAGGCUGCAACUCGCCUGCAUGAAGUUGGAGUUGCUAGUAACCGUAGGUCAGCUAUACUGCGGUGAAUACGGUUCCCGGGGAUU